rfam:Danio rerio chromosome 12 genomic contig CTG1221, GRCz11 reference primary assembly.
GGCGCUGUGGCUUAGUUAGUCAAAGCGCCUGACUAGUAAACAGGAGAUCCUGGGUUCAAAUCCCAGCAGUGCCU